AUCCAGUAGACGAGUCCCAAAUAGGACGAAACGCGCGUCCUGGAU
rnacentral:hammerhead_ribozyme from 1 species